CUCGUAACACACCUGAUAAGUGGUUAUCCAGCUUGCCCCUGAAGACCUCUUAAGCCAUUCUACUUUUGGAACACAAGGAAGCACAUAGAAUGAUGAGGGUUCCACAGCCAGCUGUGAUGAGGAAGGGGUUAACUAGUCCACGUGAAAACAUGAAAGAGGAGUAUUAUUAAACACCACACACCCUGCCAAGUACUUUAUUAUAAUAAGGACCUUUUA